UACGGGGGGGGGCAAGCGUUGUUCGGAAUUACUGGGCGUAAAGGGCUCGUAGGUGGCCAACUAAGUCAGACGUGAAAUCCCUCGGCUUAACCGGGGAACUGCGUCUGAUACUGGAUGGCUUGAGUUCGGGAGAGGGAUGCGGAAUUCCAGGUGUAGCGGUGAAAUGCGUAGAUAUCAGGAGGAACACCGGUGGCGAAGGCGGAUCUCUGGGCCUUACCUGACGCUCAGGUGCGAAAGCUAGGGGAGCGAACAGG
rnacentral:rRNA from 1 species